CUCUUUUAGGUUUGAAAUUUGCGGAAGAAAUUUCUUAGCUUUUCUUCCUUCCUUUUCAAGAAAAUAAUUCAUCAUUGAUGUCGCCAUUGAUAGUGUUAAAUCAAACGAUUUAUCAUUGAAAUUUGUGGGAGGAAUUUAUUGGCUUUUCUUUCUUCUUUUUUCAAGAAAAUGAUUUAUCAUUGAUACCACCAACAUCACCGCACCAAACACCAUCAGUGGAGGAAAUCGAUUCAACUCCCGAUGUCGUCAUUGAUGGUGCUAAAUCAAAGAAAAACGGAGUUCUGCUUCUUUGAAAGGAAAAAUUGGUCCUUCAAAACACAAAGCUAUUGAAAAAAUCAAAAGACAUACUCCAAAAGGAUAUACAUUACAUUGUCAAAGAAGUUCCACUACAUUCGUUAAGGUUUGAGAGUUCUUGCAACACUAAAAAUUUAGAAGAUUUUAAAGAAAUUCUGAAAGAUGAAGGGAUGGAGUUGUUUGGUCAUACGAUGGGUGAUAUUCUUUUGAAUUUCAAAGAGAGGAGAAGAAUGUUUCAAUAAGAUGAUUUUUUUUUUUAAUAUCAACAUUGUAAUUAAUUAUGAUUUCUUGAGAAUUUUGACAGUGAUUUUAAAGUUAUGAAACGUUAUUUCCUCCUCAA